GAUGAACGCUAGCGACAGGCCUAACACAUGCAAGUCGAGGGGCAGCACAAGGUAGCAAUACUGAGGUGGCGACCGGCGCACGGGUGAGUAACGCGUAUGCAACCUGCCUGUAACAGGGGAAUAGCCUCUUGAAAGAGAGAUUAAUGCCGCAUAAUACGAGAUUCGGGCAUCCGGAUUUAGUUAAACAUUUAUGGGUUACAGAUGGGCAUGCGUUUCAUUAGGUAGUUGGUGAGGUAACGGCUCACCAAGCCGACGAUGAAUAGGGGUUCUGAGAGGAAGGUCCCCCACACUGGUACUGAGACACGGACCAGACUCCUACGGGAGGCAGCAGUGAGGAAUAUUGGUCAAUGGACGCAAGUCUGAACCAGCCAAGUCGCGUGAAGGAUGAAGGUAUUAUGUAUUGUAAACUUCUUUUGUCAGGGAAUAAUGGGUGUCACGUGUGACGCAGAGGAAUGUACCUGACGAAUAAGCAUCGGCUAACUCCGUGCCAGCAGCCGCGGUAAUACGGAGGAUGCGAGCGUUAUCCGGAUUUAUUGGGUUUAAAGGGUGCGUAGGCGGUUUGUUAAGUCAGUGGUGAAAGUUUGCGGCUCAACCGUAAAAUUGCCAUUGAAACUGGCGAACUUGAGUACAGUAGAGGUAGGCGGAAUUCGUGGUGUAGCGGUGAAAUGCUUAGAUAUCACGAAGAACUCCNAUUG
rnacentral:rRNA from 1 species